rnacentral:rRNA from 1 species
GUUGAACGCUAGCUACAGGCUUAACACAUGCAAGUCGCGGGACCGGCGCAUGGGUGAGUAACACGUAUCUACCCUGCCCUUUACUAGGGGAUAGCCUUUCGCAAGAAAGAUUAAUACCCGAUAUAAUGGAUGGGUAUGCGUUCCAUUAGGUUGUUGGUGAGGUAACGGCUCACCAAGCCUUCGAUGGAUAGUGGUUCUGCUAGGAAGGUCCCCUACAUUGGAACUGAGACACGGUCCACACCCCUACGGGACGCAGCGGUUGGUAAUAUUCGUCAAUGGUGGCUGGCCUGAACCCGCCAUGUAGCGUGAAGAAUGAAGGCUUAUGGGUCGUAUACGUCUUUUAUAGAAGAAUAUGUAUUAUAUGAAUAAGGAUCGGCUAACUCCGUGCCAGCAGCCGCGGUAAUAC